GUCAUGCAAAUGGCGACCAUUGUUGUGCAUUUCAAUUUAGAAUAUUUACCUAAACAUGCUGAGUUUGUUGGAGUGGGAUUGGAAUAAGAGUCUUCAUUAAACUUACUGUCUUUUCGUUUUAUUUAUUAGAAAAUAGCAUUAUAGAGUUUCCUCAAUGUUUUUGUUAGUCAAGCACAGAUUUCAGCUUUUGCUUCUUUCUAAGUGUUAAAAAAUCAUUCCUUCCUGAAGCCUGAAAUGAAUCUUUUGAUAGCACAAAUUGAGUAACCAAUAUAAGUAUAAUAUUAUAUUAUCACCUUAUUUAUACAUUUUUCGACAGAAUUUUGCGGAAUUUUUCGUAAUAUUUGUUCUUUUCAUUUUGCUUUUUUCCUAUUGCUAUGUUUAAGGGGGCACUGGAAGGAUAACGUUGCUUGAACCUAAUCACCUCCUACUCUUUUUGAAUUUCUAGAAGAACUCUUCCGCUUGAUCCUAAACCAAAGACGUGUACUUCACUGUGAUCAGACUCUCUUGCCUUGACUGCAAGAUACUCGGUGAAUCUCCGCCUGCCGUAAGCAUCCUGGCUUCCUGGAAACCUUUUCAUCUUCUAAGAUGAAGAAUUUUCACGAUUGCACUAUUGUGGAAUCCUCGAGUCGUCAAACAUUGCAUGAAGCUCAGAGUUGUGUAUGUCUCUCUUGCUGCAAUGUUUCUUGCAUAUGGAUUGGAAUACCACUCCUGUAGAUGGGAUGUCUAUAGUUUCAUGAGCAGGAGGUGUUGGUGUGCCAACCCAUCAGGAAGAUCAGAAUUAUCUUCUUCUCCCUUAAGGAAAUGUGUUUUAAACGUGUGCGCCAGGUGGCCAUGAAGUACAGAGGUACGUGGGCGGAGACAUUCAUGAUAGUGUCCGCUUGUUUAGUUGUUUCGGGAAUAUUGUCGGGCUUCAUUGCUAGAUACUACCGGAUGCUACUCAAUUCGCCAGUUUAUACUUUGCUAUUUCCCAUUAUGAAAAUGAAAAAGGUAAACUAGCCUAUAAUUCUCUUAGCCAAAAUAUCCGAUGACGUGGCAUGACUUUGAUCCCGAAAUGUUAGCUUUUGCUGCCUGUAUAGGCUGUACGAAUUUUGUUUGUUUGAUCAGAUUUUGUAGACUGCCAGUGAAGUAAAAGCAAGUGUGGAGUUUGUGGACCUGUGGUUUUAUAUGAUAAUACACUCAAAUCAUCAUCGUCGCCAUUUUGAUUUUUUACUGUGAUCCACUUUAAACGCUUGCGUACGGCGAUCAUACGUAUCCCCUAAUGAUAACUGAAUUAAUAUGAAACUCACCAGACCUGCACCCAGACCGAACUGAAUUCUUCAUUUUUAAUUCACCCGGUGGAAAGGAUGACUGGCAAUCCGACAUGCAAAGCAUUCUGCCUCCCAGUAUGAAGGGCACAACAGACUUCCAACAGCAGAUAAAAGUAGAGGUGUACUGCCCUAGUUUGUCCAGACAGGAUGUCCUUCUCGCUUGAAGGUCACGAGAAACAUUACGUAAAACUGGCAUGCGGUAGUGUAGAGGUUGGGUGAGAAUGACACGUGUUUCAUCAUUAUCAAAGCAGACCCAUCCCCAGCAACGUCUACCUAAAG
rnacentral:lncRNA from 1 species